AAAACUUGAAAGAGAGAGCGUAGAGAUGAGAAGAGAGAAACGAAUUUGAUCCACAACAAAAUAGUGAGCCUGUCUCUUCUAAUCGUACAGUCCGUUUUCCACUGUGGUCUUGAUUUUAUUCCUUUACCCGUGAAUUUAAUCGUGUUUGUUUUGCAUGUUCACUAGUGUCUACUAGAAAUCCGGCUAAACAGAAAAGAAAAUGGACGACAACGAUCAACAUUAUUGUCUUCGUUGGAAUAAUUAUCAGAGUAAUAUGACAUCUGUGUUUCAUCAGUUACUACAAAACGAAGACUUCGUUGACGUGACAUUAGCAUGCAACGACCGUUCUCUCAAAGCACAUAAGGUAGUUUUAUCAGCGUGUUCGGCAUAUUUCCAAAAACUACUUUUAGAAAAUCCCUGCAAGCACCCUACUAUAAUAAUGCCUCAAGAUGUCGGUUACGAAGACCUCAAAUUUAUCAUCGAGUUCGUUUAUAAAGGGGAAAUCGACGUUUCUCAACCGGAACUCCAGUCUCUGCUUCGAACGGCGGACCAAUUGAAAAUAAAAGGAUUGUGUGAAACGGACGAUAAAGAAAAUAGGGACAGUCGAGAGCCCUUGGAUUUACCACUUUCGCUUCACUGUAAAAGUGGCAGGAAAUCGCCUGGAAUCAAACACCAUUCGUUACCAGAAGAAGAUCCUCCCGAAGCAAAAUAUCCGAAAACUUCCUUCCAAACCAUCGAGGAUUCGAAUGAAAUUGGCAGCGAUAAAGUACAACACAAAGAUACAAAUAAAGAGAGAGAAAACGAUAGAGAACGAGAAAAGGAGAGCGAAAACGAACAACAUUCGAAUGAAGAGACUGAAGAAAAUGAUAUGCCAGUAGCUUCGGAUCAACCAGAGCCGAAACGAAAGAGGCUGUCCUCGCAACAAGUCGAGCAAACUAAACCUCUAAACAUGACCAGCCAUGGCCUACUCUCCGGACAGACUAUAUUUUCUCACUUCGGCGUUGACACCGAUGAUUUCCCACCCGAACCACCGGCUCCGUCUGCGAUUCCCGUUGGACACGUUGACAUGUCAACAGCGCCCGUCGAUCAUUCCCCCACCAGGACUAUACUUACUGGACCGAUACAUCGUACGGACAUCUCGGAUUCCACGAAGUAUACACUUGAAAUUAAAAAAGAAGCCGACAUCAAAUUGGAAACUCUAAGAUCUUAUGAUCAAGACAGUUUAUUGGAUAUGGAGUCACAUCUUUCGGGGCCAGACCAUUCGAUGGACAGUCACGAUGAUGGCGAUAGGAGCAUUCAUCAUCUAAUGGGGCAACAUGCUGAUUUCAGUGGAAUUCCCGGGGUAUCCAAUAGCCUAGAUGUAAAUAAUGAUGACCAAGUACCUGGAAUGAAAAAUAACGGCCAUAGCGAAAAUAUAACACCAAAUAGGUCACACGGAGGUGGACCGAAAACUUGGACUCAAGAAGAUAUGGAUAUGGCGUUGGAUGCCUUAAGGAAUCACAAUAUGAGCCUGACUAAGGCAUCCGCAACUUACGGUAUUCCCUCCACUACGUUAUGGCAAAGAGCACAUAGACUUGGGAUAGAUACGCCGAAGAAAGAAGGUCCCACAAAAUCUUGGACGGAAGAAAAUUUGAAUAAUGCACUCGAAGCGUUAAGGACGGGCACGAUAUCGGCUAAUAAAGCUAGCAAAGCUUUUGGUAUUCCUAGUAGCACCUUGUACAAAAUAGCGAGAAGAGAAGGAAUAAGACUGGCAGCACCUUUCAACGCGGCACCGACGACGUGGACCCCAGACGAUUUAGAAAAAGCACUGGAAUCCAUCAGAACUGGUCAAACUUCCGUACAAAAAGCAUCGACAGAAUUUGGAAUCCCCACAGGAACCCUAUACGGCAGAUGCAAAAGGGAAGGAAUUGAAUUGUCGAGGUCGAACCCUACUCCGUGGUCAGAAGAUGCGAUGGGAGAAGCUUUGGAAGCUGUUAGGUUAGGCCAUAUGUCCAUCAACCAAGCAGCCAUCCAUUACAACCUGCCUUAUUCAUCCUUAUACGGCCGCUUUAAGCGUGGCCUUAAAUUCGAAGCGGACAUCGUGGAUUAUCACGAUCUCAAUCAAGAUAGCCAAUUGCAAAUGGAUCACACAUUCGGAAUGGAAUACACUACCUCCCCACCUCAGAUACAAUAUCAGAAUCAGAACAGUUGAGACGCGGCCUUCAACUUUGACUGCUUUUAAGAAAUAGGUCCAUAAUAGAUUUAUAUUUGAGGUUAGAAAAGUGAUAAAGCCAAUCCAUUGUUUCUUAUACUGCUUGUCCUAUCAACUACCGUAAUAGGAUUAAUGAGAGUUAAAUGAAGAAGGCGAUAUACUCAGCCUCUUCCUAGAUCAUCUACUCCAAAGAGGACAUGACACCAAGACAAAAAUGGAUUAUGAUGUGACAGAAUUCUUUUGUAAAUGAUUGGAAUUAUAAAUUGACGGUCCCACAAAUUCACUUUCUUAAACUAAUGAACAAAAUAACAUGACUCUUGUACCAUGAAACAUAGCGCUCUAUAUCAAAGCACUAUCCAGUCAGGAAGAAUUAUUAUUUUCCAAUAUACAAGCCUUAAAAGUUUGUUUAUUUCAUUAAAUGUUUCAGAAAUGACAUGAUCCCAUAACUCUUGUACCAUGUAACAUAGCGCUUUAUAUCAAAGCUCUUUCCAAUCAGGAAGAUUUGCUUCACAAUUGGUGAAAAUUUCAACAUUUUAGCCCAACUAUUUUCCAAUAUACAAGCCUUUAAAGUUUGUUUAUUUCAUUAGCUGUUUCAGAAAUGACAUGAUCCCAUAACUCUUGUACCAUGAAACAUAUCGCUUUAUGUCAAAUCUCUAUCCAGUCAGGAAAAUUUGCUUCACAAUUGCUAACAAUUUCAUAAUUUUAGCCCUACUAUUUUCCAAUAUACAAACCUUCAAAGUUUAUUAUUUUAUCAGCUGUUUCAGAAAUGACAUGAUCCCAUAAUUUUGCUCAUAACCCUUGUACCAUUGAACAUAGAGCUUCAUACAAGCUCUAUCCAAUCAGGAAGAAAUGCUUCACAAUUGGUAACAAUUACAAAUCUUCAACCUAAUUGGUUUCUAAUAUACGAAUUUUCUCAUUUGUUAUUUAAGGACUUAAUCCCAUAAUUUUUUUUCCUACCAAAAAUAGCAGCAAAACUUUGCCAAUAUUAUGUUUAGAAUUAUGUUAUUUUUUGUAUAAACAUCCUCUUUCUUCAUUAUAUGGCAUCUUGUGUUAUUUUUUUGUAUUCUUUCAUCUUUUUUUGUAUAAACCUUGAUGUCGAAUAUACUGAUAAAAAUAAUGUGAGAAACCAGAAAAUGAAUCAUUGAUAAUUAUAUUGAAUUUUUUAUUUUUUAAGUUUCAAACUUCAAAUCGUUCCAAAUAUUUUAAGUAACGAGUAGACAACCAGACAACCAGACUAGAUGGGCACUAAUCGCCAUUAUGUCUUAGAGAUAAGACGUUUGAAAAAAUCAUAUUUUUUAUAAUCGCUCAAUAUUUAAAAAAAAUUCGCGAUAAAACUAUUAUUGUGAAUACAUUUUGUAUAUGAUGUUUGGAAAAAUUGCUAGCAUUGUAUUUUUUUUCUUAUUUCUAUAUUCACAUAAAGUUAACCUCAACUUAAAGUUGAAAGAUCGUUUUUGUGAAACAUUUAAAGAAAAAUUCUAUUCUAUCCUGAAACAAAGUUUUUAUUAUAACUUUCUUUUGAUACUCACUUAAAGUUUUUGUACAUUUUUUCCACAGCAACUGUGGUAGUCUUAAAAGUCUAUUUUGUUUAAAACAGCACCCAUGAACUUUAUUUCACCCAUCAUAAAAGUAGGUAAUUACCCAUUUCUGGAAUAUUGAUUGAUCAAACUUAAAAUUAUAUCCUGUUAACGAAAAGGUCUCUUGACUCUAAGUAAUAUGAAAGGAGCACAUAAGAAAUUUGAAGAAAUUAUUAGGAAAAAAAAAAUGGAAUUCAUAGUAAUUACCAUUUACUAGGCUGUUGUGCUAAAAUAAACUAAAAAUGAAAAAUUUUACCAUUAUUUUUAAUGAAGUUAGAACAAAUUUAUGCCUUGUCUGACAUAAUACAUAACAAGAAAGUGCAAUAUUACCAGAGGUAUUAACUUUUUUAACACGUUCCCCCACGUCGUCUAAUUUCAACUAACCCAAUUUCUAUCUAUUCACUUAGAGCAAACAUAAAGACUAAAGGCUUAAUCAGACGUUACGGAAUUGACGUGCGUCACGACUAUUGCGGAACGAAGAGAGCCAAUUAGCACUUUGACGUAUUUUUAGUUACGCAAUUGUCUAUGUUCGCAUGGAGAGGUUUCAACUGCGCACCGAAAUGUGCGUCAUGAACUUUUAAGUACAGUUAUAAUAAAAUAUUACUGGGAUUUCUAACCAUUAUUUUUCAAUCCAAUUGAAUAUAUUUGGAAUAAUUUUGACACAUCCCGUUACAUUUCCGCAAUCAUGUGAACAUAAUACUGUGUCACGUCAACUCCUUCAAAAACAUAAAUUCAGUUAUUUGGAAAACAACAAAAUCAAAGAGAACAUAAAGCCAGAAAACAGAAGGAAAAAAUAAUCAAGAUUCAAUUUUUAAAAAUUGUAUUUAUUUACUAAUACAAAUACAAUUUCGCUUAAAAAAUUAAUUUCAUGGGUAAAAUAGUUUUACAUAUUGAUUAUUUUUCGAUACGCAAAUAAUACACCUAACCUCAAAAUACAAACUGAACAAUGUGAAGCUUGGCAUUUUGAUGACGUUUGCCUUAUGUGUUUCAAAAUCUAGGCAAUAUCCUGAACUACAUUCGCAGAUUUUUUUGUUCCAUUGGAAACACCAAUGGUUGUCAAACUAAAAAUCGAACUGAAACGUAAAAAACCUUUAAUAAAUAGAUUUUUCCAUUAUAUUAUAAUAUGUAUUUAUUUUAUCAACAAGAUUAACAUAUUGUCGAUGAUUUAUAUACUUAACUGAAGAUGGUUUUCGACAUAAAUUGCAGCAGGUCGAUCUGAUAACACAAAAUGGUGAUUCUACAUAGCCAAAGUGGUUGGCAGUAGCUUCCAUGUGAUUUAAAUAAUAACAAAUGUCGUUUGGUGAUUUAAAAGUGGAAAAAAGUUGUUAAAAAAGUUUUUUACCGCUUUAUGCUCUAUACAUACAUAUUGAUUAGGAACUAGUUGUACAAAAAUUAGUUGUAUAUUGUAGGUAAUUUAUUUACGGAUACCUUGUUGCGGCUAUAAUAUAGCAUAUUAAUCAUUUGUAAAUAUUUUAAUUUAGUUUAUGUUCUAUUUUAUAUAAUGACUAGUACACAGAUUUUAUUAAUAUUCAUAGCUUAAGUAAUGGAGUCCAGAUUUUUUUAAAAUCUUAUUCGAUAUGAUCCAAAUGAACUAUAAAUGAAGCAGAUGAUGAUAAUACUAUCUAUUUGUUUGUAAUCUUAAAAAAUCAUGUGAAAAUGACUAAAAUUUAUGGUUUUUUGAUAAUAUCUAAUAAUUUUUAGUUACAAGUCUCAGAAGAUAUAUUCUUGAUUAAUGAAACGUUCAUCAGACACUGUAAUUGUCAGUGUUGGUGUAGUGGUAGUUUAAGCAGUGUGUUCAUACUGAUGUUAUUAUUACCUGUAUCUCUUGAACUGUAGCUGUUAUUAAUUGAAUAUAGAAAUAAUAAUCGAAAUGUUGGAAAUAGUUUAAAAAUUGAUUACUAUAAGUAAAUUUAAAGAAUCUUGAGGUUCGAACAACAAGAGGUAAACUAUAAAAUAUGAAUUGGCAAUUUAAGAAAAGAUUCAGAUCAAUUAACGAACUCCACAUCUUUAGAAUUUCAUCAAAAAUCGAAUGAAAAAUACAAUAGAAAAAAAAGU